rnacentral:rRNA from 1 species
UACGUAGGGUGCGAGCGUUAAUCGGAAUUACUGGGCGUAAAGCGUGCGCAGGCGGCUUUGCAAGACAGAUGUGAAAUCCCCGGGCUCAACCUGGGAACUGCAUUUGUGACUGCAAGGCUAGAGUACGGCAGAGGGGGAUGGAAUUCUGCGUGUAGCAGUGAAAUGCGUAGAUAUGCGGAGGAACACCAAUGGCGAAGGCAAUCCCCUGGGCCUGUACUGACG